AUCCUCAAUCCAAUAUCUGAACUUCACUCUUGGUUCUGGAGACUGAAAGCGCUGAGACUUAUUCAUGUUUCUUUUCUUCUCGUAUGGGAUGUAACGAAUAUUAUGGCUAUUGUGUAGGCUUGUAUUGUGUUUUAACUUGAAUUCUGUACUUUUACUUUUGGAUUGCCGCUUGAAGCUGGAAAAUGUGUAAACCCUAUUUCGGAGGUUGGAUAAUAUAUUUGUGUUUGUGAAUUAUGGAUUGAUGUAUCUAGAUACGAACGACCUUAUUCCUUGGUUCUA